ensembl:lncRNA
UGUUGUGGAGUGAGGGGGUCCUUGUGGAUUGUUCCAAAUAUGCUGGGGGUCCAGAGCUCACAAAAGGUUGAGAAGAACCACUGGUCUAAUGUAUGAAUUUUAGAAAGGUAAUAUUGUCUCAAAUUAGUUUUUUACUAACCUGAAAGUUUGCCCCAUCCGAUUAAUCGAAAAAAAAUUACUGGCUAUGAAAAUUAUCGUUAGUUGCAGCCCUACUUGGAAAAUACUUAGCUCUGCUAAAAAAUCUUACUUUUUCCAAGUUUCACUGACAACCAAAAAGACUGACGACCCCAGAUUCCAUUGCACAGAAACUGCUCUUCUAAAAGUUUUUAAAUGAUCUGCAACAAAAUACAGACUCAGGUAAUCUGUCAAUUCUAGUACUUUUAGAUCUCAGUGCUGGUCUUUGACACAGUUGAUCAUGGGAUUCUGCUUGACUGACUGCAAAACUGGGUUGUUUUCAGGCCUAGUCCUAGAUUGGUUUAGAUCUUACAUAAAUGGCAGGGAAUACUAUGUUACACUGGGUACACACACCUCCAGACGUCAUGUGAUAUCUUGCGGUGUUCCUCAAGGCUCAAUUUUAGGUCAUUGUUAUUUAACUUGUAUACGCGGCCAUUAGCUGGUGUAAUUAAUCGAUACAACAUCUCCUUCCAUCAGUAUGCAGAGGUCACGCAACUCUAUCUCUCACUUACACCAGAAGUCGAUUAGCACCCUUGUAAACUGCAUAAGAGCAUAAACAUGUGGAUGUCACAGAACAGUCUGAAGCUAAAUAAAGAUAACACUCCGGCCCUUACAUCACUUCACUGGCUACCUGGGUCUUACAGAAUUGGCUUUAAAAUCCUGUUGUUAAUUUUCCAAUGUCUUCAUAGUGGUGCUCCUACAUACCUUUGUAACAUGAUCCCUAAAUAUACUCCUGCUAGAUCACUUAGUUCAUCCAACUGCAACCUGCUGGUUUUACCCAAAACACAGCUGAACAGCGGCGAGUUUAGUCACUACUUUGUAAACAUUGUUUGAAAAAGUGCUAUAAAGCUUUACUAACUUAUGAUCUAAAACUACCUUGAUAUUCACAGUU